GGAGGGUGCAAGCGUUGUUCGGAAUUACUGGGCGUAAAGCGCGUGUAGGCGGCCCUGUAAGUCAGAUGUGAAAGCCCUCGGCUUAACCGGGGAAGUGCAUCUGAAACUGCUUGGCUUGAGUACGGGAGAGGGAGGCGGAAUUCCCAGUGUAGAGGUGAAAUUCGUAGAUAUUGGGAGGAACACCGGUGGCGAAAGCGGCCUCCUGGACCGAUACUGACGCUGAGACGCGAAAGCGUGGGGAGCAAACAGGAUUAGAUACCCUGGUAGUCCACGCGGUAAACGAUGGGCACUAGGUGUGGGGGGUAUCCACUCCUCCUGUGCCGAAGCUAACGCAUUAAGUGCCCCGCCUGGGGAGUACGGCCGCAAGGUUAAA
rnacentral:rRNA from 1 species